rnacentral:rRNA from 15 species
UGUAGAGUUUGAUCCUGGCUCAGAUUGAACGCUGGCGGCAUGCCUUACACAUGCAAGUCGAACGGUAACAGGUUAAGCUGACGAGUGGCGAACGGGUGAGUAAUGUAUCGGAACGUGCCCAGUCGUGGGGGAUAACUGCUCGAAAGAGCAGCUAAUACCGCAUACGACCUGAGGGUGAAAGCGGGGGAUCGCAAGACCUCGCGCGAUUGGAGCGGCCGAUAUCAGAUUAGGUAGUUGGUGAGGUAAAGGCUCACCAAGCCGACGAUCUGUAGCUGGUCUGAGAGGACGACCAGCCACACUGGGACUGAGACACGGCCCAGACUCC